GAUAUCUGAAUAGGGACAGGGGAGGGAUUGGGUAAGGGAGGAGGAUUGGGCCACUGGGUGCGGUUACCGGGAACCCAGGCCCAUCAAUCACUGGCCACUUUGUGUUCUGGCAUGGAGAAUAGCGAGGUGGAGGAGGGGAAGCACUGGGGAGAGGUGCCAGGAUUUCCCCCCAACUGCCAGGACCUCCAAACGGAUUGGAACUAUACUGGUUGACUCAGGUCUGGAGCCCAAAAUCACAGGCAGAAUAUGAGAUGUGAAAAACAAGACCCAGAGAGGGGAAAUCAUUUGAAUCCUGUACUGGUAUUGCUUUGUGUUCCUGGAUUUGGAGAAUUUCUGGGAACACAGGAAAAGGAAAGUGAAUGCCACCAGGAUCUGAACCCAAGAUUCCAGCCUCGGUCACCACCCUGACCCAGAGAAUGCCACUGGGAUGGGGAGAACUUGUCAGUCUUCAUCCUUCCCCACAAGUAUACUGAGGCCAGGACAGCACCUGCCUUAGAGAGCUCUUAGAGGGAUUAUCCGCAGCCCGAAGAAAGAAGGUUGCAACUGAGGAAGAAU
rnacentral:sRNA from 1 species